rnacentral:rRNA from 1 species
GACGAACGCUGGCGGCGUGCCUAAUACAUGCAAGUUGAGCGAUGAAGAUUGGUGCUUGCACCAAUUUGAAGAGCAGCGAACGGGUGAGUAACGCGUGGGGAAUCUGCCUUUGAGCGGGGGACAACAUUUGGAAACGAAUGCUAAUACCGCAUAACAACUUUAAACAUAAGUUUUAAGUUUGAAAGAUGCAAUUGCAUCACUCAAAGAUGAUCCCGCGUUGUAUUAGCUAGUUGGUGAGGUAAAGGCUCACCAAGGCGAUGAUACAUAGCCGACCUGAGAGGGUGGUCGGCCACAUUGGGACUGAGACACGGCCCAAACUCCUACGGGAGGCAGCAGGAGGGAAUCUUCGGCAAUGGACGAAAGUCUGACCGAGCAACGCCGCGUGAGUGAAGAAGGUUUUCGGAUCGUAAAACUCUGUUGGUAGAGAAGAACGUUGGUGAGAGUGGAAAGCUCAUCAAGUGACGUUAACUACCCAGAAAGGGACGGCUAACUACGUG